rnacentral:misc_RNA from 1 species
GAACAACAACAAAGAGGGGAAUGUGGUGAUCACGAAAAUGCGGAAUCUCAAACAUCGUCGUCUUUAAAUGGCAAAGAAAUACUGAAAGCAAUCGAAGUUGUGGAGAGAGAUUCUAUGGCGAUCGCCCAUAGCUACACUUCACUUUUUGCUUCUCUUCGAUCAACUUUAUCAGAGGUUACUAGUACUUCUGUUGAUCACAUGAUCUGCUUUGGUGAUGCAGCAGGACGAGUUCAAGAAUGUGCACUUGAUGCAGCAACUAAAGGAAACCGUUACAUAAACUCUUGCUUAAGAUUGAACGAGGAAAUGAAAGGAAUUGAUAAUCUUGCAACCCAGCUGAAAAUCAUCCGGAGAAACGUAGAUGCAUUGGACUCGGCUGUAAAUAGGCUAGUUCGUUUCCCAUGAGUGUGGAUCUGUCUUGAUGGACGAUGUCAACUAGGUGAGCUGCACAUAUUUUGUGGUGCUUUAUAUAUGAGUGAGAUGCCAGUUAAGUCUUGCUUCUUUGAAGGUUUAAGAAUAAAACAGUGUGUAAUUGAAUGAAUUGCAAGGCUGAUACAUUUUCUAACCCAUAGAAAAGCUUUCACCAUUGUUGCUUUUGCAUACAAUUUUUACCUCACUAUAUCAUUG